rnacentral:rRNA from 1 species
AACGUAGGACACAAGCGUUAUCCGGAGUUACUGGGCGUAAAGGGCGUGUAGGCGGAUCGGUAAGUCUACUCUGAAAGCUCCUGGCUAAACGGGGAGAGGCGAGUGGAGACUGUCGGUCUAGAGUGAGGAAGAGGAAAGUGGAAUUCCGCGUGUAGUGGUGAAAUGCGUAGAGAUGCGGAGGAACACCAGUGGCGAAAGCGGCUUUCUGGUCCUUAACUGACGCUGAGGCGCGAAAGCAUGGGGAGCGAACGGG